rnacentral:rRNA from 1 species
GAUGAACGCUGGCGGCGUGCCUAAUACAUGCAAGUCGAGCGAACAGACGAGGAUCUUGCGCCUCUGACGUUAGCGGCGGACGGGUGAGUAACACGUGGAUAACCUACCUAUAUGUCGGGGAUAAUUUCGGGAAACCGGAGCUAAUACCGGAUAAUAUAUUGAUCCGCAUGGUUCAAUAGUGAAAGACGGUGUUGCUGUCACUAAUAGAUGGAUCCGCGCCGCAUUAGCUGGUUGUGAAGGUUACAGCUUACCAAGGCAACGAUGCGUAGACGACCUCAGAGGGUGGUAGGCGACACUGGAAGUGGACCGCGGACAAGAGUCCUGCGGGAGGCCCCAGUCGGGAAUCUUCCGCAGCAGUCGAAAGCCUGGCGGAGCAGCGCCAAGUGAGAGAUGACGGUCUUCCGAUCGUAAAAACCUCUUAUUAGGGAAAAACAACUGUGUCCGUAAAUAUACACGUCUUGACGGUACUUAAUAAGAAAGCAACGGCUAACUACGUG